AACGAACGCUGGCGGCAUGCCUAACACAUGCAAGUCGAACGAGACCUUCGGGUCUAGUGGCGCACGGGUGCGUAACGCGUGGGAACCUGCCCUUAGGUUCGGAAUAACUCCCCGAAAGGGGUGCUAAUACCGGAUAAUGUCUUCGGACCAAAGAUUUAUCGCCUUUGGAUGGGCCCGCGUUGGAUUAGCUAGUUGGUAGGGUAAAAGCCUACUAAGGCGACGAUCCAUAGCUGGUCUGAGAGGAUGAUCAGCCACACUGGGACUGAGACACGGCCCAGACUCCUACGGGAGGCAGCAGGGGGGAAGAUUGAACAAUGGGCGAAAGCCUAAGCCAGCAAUGCCGCGUGAGUGAUGAAGGCCUUAGGGUUGUAAGGCUCUUUUACCCGGGAUGAUAAUGACAGUACCGGGAGAAUAAGCUCCGGCUAACUCCGU
rnacentral:rRNA from 1 species